rnacentral:rRNA from 1 species
GUCCCAAGGUUGGGCUGUUCGCCCAUUAAGGCACGCGAGCUGGGUUCAGACGUCGUGAGACAGUUCGGUCCCUAUCCGUCGCGGGCGCAGGAAAUUUGAGAGGAGCUGUCCUUAGUACGAGAGGACCGGGAUGGACACACCGCUGGUGUACCAGUUGUUCCGCCAGGAGCAUCGCUGGGUAGCUAUGUGUGGCAGGGAUAAACGCUGAAAGCAUCUAAGCGUGAAGCCCCCCUCAAGAUGAGAUUUCCCAUUUCUUCGGAAAGUAAGAUCCCUGAAAGAUGAUCAGGUAGAUAGGUUUGGAGUGGAAGUGUAGCGAUACAUGGAGCGGACAAAUACUAAUCGAUCGAGGACUUAACCAAAA